AUUAUUUUCAAGCCUGUUUCUACCAGAAGUGUCUAGGUGUUUUCUCUGCUCUACGAUCACUACUGGUGGUGUACGUUUUUAUCCUGCCUCACUGAAACCAAAGAAGUCGUCAGGAUGGCCCAGCCUGCUGCACACCCCGGAUCCGGUCUGCAUGGGGAUGCUGCCUUCGGUGUGCUGCAGUCCCGCAGGACGCAUCGCAGCGCAGAGACAGUAGCAUCACUCAGCGAAGCAUUUCUCAGUGUUUUGUCAGGCAUGCUGUGUUAUGGAUAUCAACUGAUAGAAGUCCUACUGUUUUCACCAGCUUUGGGCACAAACACUAGAAGCUAAGGCCUUAUGGCUCUUCUGAAGAAUUUUGUCAUCUUCUCCUUUUUGCUGAAUUAGGGAACUGAUCUCUUUAAUCCUCUAAAUGUUUCAUUUUGGAGUAAAAUUUUUGGUUUUUUUUCUUUUCUUCCCUCCCUGCCCCAGCAGAAUCAUUCGGGUGAAUCCAACCGUAUUUGUUACUAGUGCUGUAGAUUUGAAACUUCAUUUUGGGGCAAGUAAAGCAUUUGCUUUUUAAAAAAAAAAAAAAAAAAAACCUGCUUCUCUGCUUCUCUCUAUGUGUCUUUUGCAAGCUAAUAUAUGCCAGCUUUUGAUGCUUAUGCGCAGAGUUAGCCUGUGCACUUAUUUCUGAAUAAAGCAAUGGGCUGAGCCCUCUUGGCAUAGCUGCGAGAAGAGGCCAGGCCAGCAUGACGGACCAGCACGGUUCUUUGCAGACGGAUAAACAGAAGGACGUGUGAGAGCCCGAAACCUUAAAGCGGAGCAGCAGCCCUGAAGUUUGUUGUGUGCUUGCUGCUCUUUGUGGCUUUCUGCUUGCUCUACCCAACAAGUAAACGAGGACAAACACCUACAGCCUGCGUCGUCUUCUGCGACGACGUCGCCGGGUCCCUCAGUGCUGGGGCUCCUGCUCCAGGGCUGAGGCUCUGCUCCUGCUCCCUGCCUCCCUCGGCGCGUCUCCCGUGUGGUUCCUCUCCGCUCCGUCUUGUGGGACCCUCUCUGUUUUUUUGCAGCUCAUCUCCCGGGAGACUUUUCCCCCUGCCUCAAGACAGUGCUUGAAUUGAGUGAGGCGGGGAAAAAAAAAACAAAACCCACAACGGAAAGCACCUCCGCGGGGCCUGGAGGGGCUCGCGCGCUACGUUGAAGGCAGCAGGGCGGCAAGCAGGAGCCGAAGCAGCCUGGACAGGGGAGCGGGUGGAGCCGGCCGGCCGAGAGCUACCGCAGCCGUGACGCAGGUCUGUAGGGGCGCGCGUGCUUUGCGCUGCAGGGAAGGGGAGAGAAACGGCCUCUGGCGUCUACGGUUGCUUGCUUGGCGCCUGCCACCCCGCUGCCUUCUCCUCGAGCCUCUGCCUUUCUGCUGGAGGUAGCGCGUGUGCGUCCAGCCGGCGCCGGCCCUGCAGGGAGGCGUUUACUCCGAGCGAAUGAUGUCGGGCCUUUCCGUGCGAGGGCCGCGGCUGCCAGUUUGGUGCCCUGUGGUACCCCGAGACUGGAUAGCCGUUGUCAGCUGCAGCUCAUCUUUUUGGCUAGCCUCCCUCUUCUCUUCCAGGCAAACGAUGAGUUUAUGUCAGGGUCAGUAAUCCCGAUGUCGGCCCAGCUGAGAGAGGUAGCGCUUUAACGCGUGCGUGUGCAUGUCUGGCAACCACAGCUUUAACAGACCUGCUCGUCUGCCUUCGAAAAGAAACAGUGGGGCUGAAAGGCUACGGGGUCACAAUGUGCUGACUAAGGUCACGAGUUUUCGGUGACUCACAGUCUGUCUUUCUGGCAACCCAACCGUAAGGCAGGCUAUGCUUUUUUGUAUGCCUUUUUUUUUUUUUUUAACUCUUGAAAAUAAGUCUACAUCAGAAAAGUUAAUGCUUACAGCUGUCCUGGAAGGUGUCUGCCUUUGGCAAGUCGCGUGUUCUCAAGGAAGAAACCCUCCCUCGCUCGGCUGUGCUAGCCUCUUUCUGCACUCGCAGAGAGACACCCUUUCAAUUUACACAGGGCAAGGCUGAAGUUGCUGGUUUGCGCUGGAAGACAGUAGUGUGGACAGGCAUGUUCCUCAGUGAACAGAGAAUAGCAAGAAGACGUGUGAAGCUCGUUUUACCCGUUAGAGGGCAGAAGUGUACCAGCGAAGAGCCUGGGAAGCGUCGCUGCUGCCUGCCAGUGCGAAUGUAAAUCAGCGGCAGAGGCCUGGUGUGCAGCAGCAUGCAGCUCGCUCUCGUUGAACUAACUGCAGAGCUACUUGGGAAGCCAAACGACUCGCCGGAUUUAUUAAAAUGCAUUGCUUGCUUUGCUUCAGCAGUGCUGAUGUUGGUAAGAACAACAGGGCAAACACCUCAGCAGUCAAGCUGAGCACCUGUGCAGUGUUUAUCUCACGCACACCCCGAGGCUGAAUAUGGCUCAGCUAUUGCACGAUGGGCAGUGGUGAUAUUAGCUUUGAAUAGUAUUUGGAAAUCAGUGAAGCUAGGCCUGACCGGUUAGAAAAACUAGAUGCCGAGAUAGCUGGUGAGCUUAAUGCCAAGCUGCAUUCCCAGGCGCCGCUUGGGGCGAGGUGGGAGGUGGGGAUUGGUGUUUGGGCAGAAGAUUUUCCCCUGCUUGGCUGGAGACAGCGGCUGGGAGACCCUCUCGGCCAUGGGGGUGUGGUGAGAGCACGGGGUGCAUGUCCACUGCUGCCUGGCCACGUCUAUGGAAUAAAAAAGAAAGAUGCAGCUCACCAAGUGCUUGGUGGUGGGAGUAUAUUGCGUAGAAUUGGGGGGGGAAACAAGGGUAUCUAAAUGCUGUGGGUAUGUGACAGGGAGCUAAAGAGCAUCACUGAACAGCCCCACAAACAGGCUGAAGGAUGGCAUUGAAUUGCCUAAAUAAAAAUGCACCAGUGGACUCAGACUGAUCUCACCUGUGAGCACUGAAGUCCCUCUUGUCUGAAUAACCAGUUGUGACCAGUCAGGGUUUGCAUCCUAUCUCUAAAGAUAGAGGCGCUUGAUUAAAACUCUUAACCUUUGUUAAGAGUUGCUUCAGCACUGACUCACAGAGGAGACUGCAGUGAAUUGAAUCACUGCUCACAUUGUCUGCUAUGUGGAGGCUUUCGUUGCGGAAAACAGGUGAGUGAAAAACCGGUAAGGUCUAAGGGGAUCACCACCCAAACCGCUGUAAUCAUUUUAACUUGAUAACUGCUGCAGUCUGGGCUCAGCCUCACUAGGAUGGCAUUUUCCACUGCAAGAUUGUUCUCCUGCUUUUCUUUUGAUUAUGCUGGUAUUGCCCUGUGUCCAAAUAUAGAAUAACUCAAUGUUUCCAUUCAGUGCUUUUGUAUGUAAAAUGUGUUAAUCUGUUCUAAGCAGCAGAGCAUCUUCUAUAAACUGAUAUUCUGGCACCGCCUUUGGCCUGUCGCUAUUUCAACUUUUUGGAGCUGUUUAAAGGGGAAGCGUGUGCUCUGUGGCAGGGAGCACAGCUGCAGCAUCCAGCCUCUCCAGGGCACCGAGGUGUCUCCAACCAGCGGGACUCUCCUCAUCACAGGAGUCUGGGCCUACGUUGACACGCAGAAGUCAUCACCAGGUGCAACGUUGCAGACUUAGCCUGUUUUGAAGGAAAGCCCUUUGCUCCUAGCAAAGGCUGAAUCAGAGAAGGGGGGGUUUCUGAGUAGGUUGAAAAAUCUUUGAGGAUAGCAGCUAUGUACAAAAAGGCUGUGCUUAAGGACGGUUAGUGUGAAGGAUAAAAUCUAACCCACGACACAUAUGAGUAGCCUCAGCAGAGGAUUUCCAAGACAGAGGUGACUCCAGUAAGCCAUACAGACAGUCCCACUCCGUUCUGCCCUGUUGAAUGAGCCGGCUCUAAGCUGUCUGCUCGGCAGGAGUUACAGGCAGCGCAGCCGCCAGCAGUGGAACAAACAACCUCCAACACCUCUAUUUAUAUCUAAGGAGAGCUGCUGCCUUGGAGGUUGCAAGGGAAAAAGAGAAUCAGCAGCUGGCUGUAUGUGCCAUAAGCAACGUUUCCCUCGUACAACCCCCAUCGCCAGCUUGUACCAACCCAUAGGUGUUGGAAGAACCCUGCUCACAAGGCAGAGCUGGCUUGUUAUCACAUUUCAUAACAUUUCCUUGCUCAUAACUAGCUGAAUGUUGGACAUCUGAUCUUGAUUCAAGGCAGGGAGGGCUUUGCAGCUCCAAAGUAACUAAGUGAAGGGAAGUGUCAGCCCGUUGGGGGGGAAGGGACCUCAAUUUUCCACAGUGAAUGAGUGACAAAACAAUUACAUCGUACCUGGCAACAUAACUACUUUAUGAAGAUAAAUUUCUCGAAGGCAAGACUAAGGCGAGCAGCGUUGUGCUCUGGCAUGCCAUUUGCUGCUCUGCCUCGUGUUGAUUUCAGUAGUUUCUCUAGAGCAAGAGGCUAUGCAGCAAAACUGAUGUGGCGAAGUCAGACCCUCAGACGGGGUCAAGAAUUUCAUCACUGAGCUUUUCACAUAUUUGUAACAUGAUAUUAAUGUUAGGCGAGACCAUUUAUCAAUUACUUAAGAAUUUACUUCCCAGCCCACACCCCAAAUAUUUCACGCAGGGUUUCUUGCAGUACUCCCAGUCGCUAUUGGAAGCCACUGGCCAGAAAGUAGAGAGAAAAUGUACUUUGCCUGACAUUUUUUAAAAAAAGACUCUUUCCUUUCUAACAGGGAUUAUCCGUGACCGCAUAAGACUCCGCCAAAGACAGAUAGAGUUAGACUACAAACCCAACAAGUCAUACCCAGCAGCCUGUAAUGGCUGUGCAUAUGCAGGCUCUUUGCUGUGCAGCCCAGGAGAGUGGCUUAACACUUAUCUUAAAAAGCUAAUGUUUAUUUUGGGGUUCCUGUAAAUUCAUAGUGUUUCAUUUGCUGCCAAAUUGCAACAAAACCCACACAAUGAUUAAGAAGCCUUGCACGUAGAUACAGAAAAUGCAAUUGCAAAAUUGCUGAAUAGAAAUAGCUCUAUCUUUAAAUGAUCGUGAGCUGUCAGCUGUUCCUUUGUUCAGAUUAUUAUAGGCACAUAUAAAACAUCUGAUUGAAUGUUCAAGUUUUCACCGUCUAGCAUCCAGACGGAUGUCUGAUAAAGUAACAAACACACCCCACUCCACCCCUCCGCAAAAAGCCCCUUCCUGCAGCGGCUGGAUUUCUCCUUGUAUUAAAGCCAGUAUUUCAUGGACUAAAUUGGACAAGUAAAGCAAAUAAUCUCCCUUGCAUUGAUUUCCAGAUCAAAUCAUUGUUAAUCGCACCAAUAUCCCCAGCCAAUUUGACAGCCCCUGAGACCGGCUUUCCUUCUCAAAGAGGCUCCUCCGCGCAGAUGCCACGGCGCGCUCCGCGUGUGCCGCUGAGCUUUGCUGGUGAUUAUUGCUGGCAACAUUCAAGUCCAAUUCUCUCAUCCCUUCUUCUCCCCUCCCACCCUUCCCCCUUGCACAGGAAAGGGAAAAAAAAGUAAUUUUUCACCUUACACCAGAUUUCUGCCUGGUGCUAAAGUACUGAUCUAGUGUGUCCCGGCUUGCCUGUAAACAUCCAGAAAACUCCACCUCUGAGAAGCCGGGCAGACGUUUCGGUGGGGUGAGCCGUACAUUUCUGGGGUGAAACUCUGCUGUUUUGUGGUACGACCCUGAGCGGCUCUCGCGAGGAUGAGGGGUGGCGUGGAGGGGUGCUCGCGGCCGCUGGUGCCUGCCGCCUCCGCUCGUGCUGCCGGGGGGCCGGGAGCCCAGCCCUGCACACGUUUGGCCAGGGGACUCGUUGCAAAGCCGUGUGCAGCUCCCUAAGGUCAGGGAGAUGCUUUAAGCUGAGCGAGUGCCUGUCCUUUUGGGGACGGGACACCAGGGCAGGGACAGCAGAGUCAGCUGAAAGGCAGCAUGGCCUGAGACCGAAUUAACGGUCCGGCCGCAGCGGGGAGGACGAGCGGUGCUCGGAGGCUGCAGCACCUUCUCCCAGCCGGACGCAGCUCUGUUUGCCGUGUAAUAAAGUCAUCUUGUCCAUAAGCAAGACUUCAGGACUGUAUCUAUUUGGAACUGUAAAUUAAUUAAAAGUAGGCACUGAUUAACCUCCCUCCACUUUGUUUCCUUGCCAGGGCAGCAAGGCUGCUCCCGGUGCAGCCCGCCUCUGCGUCCCAGCGAGCCCGGGGUUCGCUAAGGGCUCCCCUUCGCCUAACGAGCCCCUUGACAGAUUUCAGUUCUGCUUAUUUGUGAAAUGAACCACUACUACAGCUGCAAGGAGAGGAGCUGACGACACCCACACACCACCCUUCGCCAGGAUGUCUGAAUUUCACGUGUAAGAACAUAGAAACCACAGAGAAAGGCCAGCAUGUAUCACUAACGCACCUUCAGAGGGCAGCGGGAAGGCCGAGAUAAACGACUUUCUAGUCCGAGAAAGGACAUCUGUGCAGACCAGACUGCCCAGUUCUCUGCUCUACUGGAACCUAGCAAGCCGCCCUGCUGUCCUUCCUCACCCUCAUACCCACCUAAGGAAAAUCUCUUCUCACGUGACACGGUACUAGCAGAGGAAUCACGUCAUAUGCAUUUUUAACGUACUGCAUCAAGGCUCAUCAUAGCAACCAGAUAAAACGAACCUUGACUAUUUAAAUGAAUGCUAUCCUCCUGCCAAGUCAGAUGCUUCACUCAUCAAAGGGAGAAGAAAAGCUUCGGCCUCACGACGAAAAUUGGCCCAUUUUUGAAAGUCAUCUUCGUUCAAGAUCUGCAUAACGGAAUUGAAGCAGAG